ensembl:lncRNA
CCCAGGGUUCCCCCCUCCCAACCUCAUGUAAGGGCUGGCAGCAGUGAGAGAAGUUUCUUUACUCAAACAUCAUCUUUGGAGUGCUUGGCGAGCUCUGAGUCUUGGAAGUGGGGGGUAAAACUGUCACUAGUGGUGCCUUAGAGGGGUAAAUAUCUUCUGCUGUCGCUCCUCCCACUAUGCGGAUGACCUGACCUGGAUUUCUGUUGUGCUGGUAACACAUCUGCAUUUCUCUUUGAAAUAACGUCUUAGCAGAACGGCCAGAUUUCAAACCCCAGAGGAGUCCCUGUGUUGGUUAUGGAAACAGGAAAUACAGCAAAGCACUGCAAGAUAUGAGGAUAACAACGAGCUGUGCUAGCUCCAAAGCAGCCAGAGCUGGCUGGGGUAGUGGUACUGACCAUGUGCUACACUUAAAACUGAGAUCACAAGAAGACCUGCUUUGCUGCCCUGUCCUUCUUUAGCGGAAGCAAUGCUGAUUUGGGACCAGGACUGCAGAGGUGAGCCUGUCAGAGUGUGGUGGCAAUGGCAAGGCCUUAGCCAUUGCCAUAAUUGGCAGUAAAUACAUACUUACACUUAAUUCAUAGCAUGCUUGGCACAGCUGUGUGUCUUCUGCAUCCACAUGUAAAGGAAAAUGGGACCUUUCCUACAACAUACCCAUCUACCUCCAUCUCUGAUUAAAACUGCCUUAUGGCCUCUCUUUGCACCGUGGUUAUUCCAGCAUUUAUCAGGUUCCUGCUUUCUGCAUGAGGCCGAGAUGUAUAGGCAGCCCUGGAACAGCACACCAAGCUGUGCUUACGGCGUAACCCUGUUGGCAGGUAGCGGUGCGAUGUAACUUCGGUGUCUGCUGAGGACAGUGCGCACCUUCGGGCACUUCUCUUCCCCGUUCCUCGGCAGCAGUCACUUUUGCCAAGUCCCUGUGGUGCUCCUGCUCUCCUAAACACCCUCCUCCUGCGACAGUGUGGGAAGGCUCGGUCUGUCUGUCGGUCCGCCUGCCCCUGCCCCGAGCAGCACGGCGGUUCCCGGCAGCAGAUGGCGCUCGCUGCCUUCCGAUGAGCCGAACGCGCUCAACUUUCCCG